AUACAACCUCUCCAAUGUCGAAAUUGAGCUUUCUUGAUUUCCAAUACAACCUCUCAAAGAGGAGUUUCCUGCGUAAGCCAACUAGAAUGUUUACCAAAGAGAGACAAAACUCAGGCUUAUUGCCUAUUUACCAACUUAGUGUGGAUGAACUAAAGAAAGUCUUUGAUAAAUUUGAUACAAACAAAGAUGGCAAGAUUUCACCAGAGGAGUACAAGGGGAUCUUAAAAGCUAUGGGGAAGAAAAACCUCCUUACGAGGGAAGUUCAAAAGAUUUUCGACGUUGCAGAUGCAAAUGGUGAUGGAUUUAUUGAUUUCAAGGAGUUCGUGGAAGCGCAAAAGAAGGAAGGUGGUGUCAAAACUAUGGAUUUGAAGAGUGCAUUUCACACUUUUGACAAAGAUGGUGAUGGAAAGAUCAGUGUGCAGGAAGUGUACGAGUUGCAGAAGGGGCUCGGACAGAGGUGCAGCCUUCAAGAUUGCAGGAAAAUGGUGAAAGCUGUGGAUGCAAAUGGAGAUGGUGUGAUUGAUUUGGAUGAAUUCAUGACUAUGAUGACUCGCACUAUGACACUUUGUUAGAAGCUUUUUCAUCCCUAAUGGAAGGCCCCAACUAGGAAUUCCUAGCUCAUCAGUCAUCACAUGGCUUAGAUAUAUGUUUCCUUGUAUAAAUGCAAGAUUUCUGCAUGCUGGUAGCAAUAGUUCUUACUAGUUUGAUAUGAAGGCCCUAUCUGGGAAUUCCUAGCUCAUCAGCCUCCCUGCUCGUCCAGGGUAGGGGUAAGGCUGCUUACAUCUUACUUUCCCUAGACCCCACUUGUGGUGGGAAUACUUUGGGUCGUUGUUUUUGGGUAUCCAAUAGGUUUUGCAACUAUGAAAAGUUAAUAGCAUUGACAAAGAUCAUAAAUUUCACAAUAAAAUCCACUGCACCAAGGAUGGUACAUGCUGACUAGUGUAAUUCAUUAAUGUUAAUGCCAUUGUGGUACAUCUCGUAUGAUAUUUGCAAAAUCAUGUUUAAUCAGAAAUGAGAAAGUUAAUUGUUUCCCAUAUUAAUUCACAUAGCAAAAGGUGGAAAUGAC
rnacentral:lncRNA from 1 species